UUAGGAAUCUUCCACAAUGGGCGAAAGCCUGAUGGAGCGACGCCGCGUGAGGGAUGAAGGCCUUAGGGUUGUAAACCUCUAAAAGAGGGACGAUAAUGACGGUACCUCUUGAAUAGCACCGGCUAACUCCGUGCCAGCAGCCGCGGUAAUACGGAGGGUGCAAGCGUUAUCCGGAAUCACUGGGCGUAAAGGGCGCGUAGGCGGUCUGUUAUGUCCGAUGUUAAAUCCCGGGGCUCAACCCCGGAUAAGCGUUGGAUACUGGCAGGCUAGACGGUUGGAGAGGCGAGUGGAAUUACCAGUGUAGCGGUCGAAUGCGUAGAUACUGGUAGGAACACCCAUUGCGAAGGCAGCUCGCUGGGCAACACGUGACGCUGAGGCGCGAAAGUGUGGGGAGCAAACC
rnacentral:rRNA from 1 species